UAGUGAAGCAAACUGAAUUCAACCUAAGCAACUCAUAACCAGUACCCGAAGCUGGGCUGUAAUGAAUGAGAACGAGCGCGCUUCAAGGGUGAGAGAGGAAAAGGGACCAGGAAGUGCUCACCAGGCGCAGCGUGGGUACAGGAAUUCCUGAAGCUUGGAUUUCGCUGGCACCGUUACCACUCCCAGAGAGGAGCGGCUGGAGUUCACGGCUGGUUCCUGACAAACUUCCUAAUUAAUCUGCUGAAGAUCAGAGGAGGACUAAUCGGGGCUGAAGACUGUGUUGGGCCCAUCCCCCCGCCCUUUCCGUGUGUGUGUCUGUGUGUGUGUCUGUGUGUGUGUGUACCGCGGGCCUGUGCACACACUUACAGUGCUGAGCUUGGCAGGAGAGAGUCUCAGCCAGCGAUUCAGCACAAUAGCAUUCCUGCUGCUGCCACCUACCUUCCCUGCUUUGGGAGGAGGAAUUUUCUUCUCUUGCUUAGAAGUUUCCAGGAGUCCCCACUCCUUCUGCUGG